UACGUAGGGGGCAAGCGUUGUCCGGAAUUAUUGGGCGUAAAGCGCGCGCAGGCGGUCCUUUAAGUCUGAUGUGAAAGCCCACGGCUUAACCGUGGAGGGUCAUUGGAAACUGAGGGACUUGAGUACAGAAGAGGAGAGUGGAAUUCCACGUGUAGCGGUGAAAUGCGUAGAUAUGUGGAGGAACACCAGUGGCGAAGGCGACUCUCUGGUCUGUAACUGACGCUGAGGUGCGAAAGCGUGGGUAGCAAACAGG
rnacentral:rRNA from 1 species